CUUCUAGCUUUAAACAAGAAAACCUCUCCUUCCCUCCUCCUCUCCCCCCACCUCCAGGAUUAAUGAAGCAUUUGACAAGAGUUGUCAAAGGGCAUCCAUCUGUGGAGAAGGGGAGAGGGUGGGGGUCACCAGCAGCGCAGCCUGUUUCCCCAGGGGUACGGCUCAGGGCGAAAGUGCGCAUUCAGCCCUGGGCUCCAGCUGAGGGCCCCGAGGCUGUUAGCUGGAUUGCUGAGGAGCUGCGACAAUCCUGCAGGUGUUAGAAAUAGCACGGGAUUUGGAAUCCCGGGCUCUGGGUUCAAAUAGUGGCUGAGCUCAGCCUUCCUCCUCAGCAAAUGGGGGGUCCCCGACUUCAGGAUCACUAAGGCCCCUUACAGCUCGCACUGUCUGUGCUCUGAGGGUUUAAAAUCCCCUCCAGCCAGUCAGCUCAGUCAAAUGAGGGCUGGGGCGGAGUGGGUGCUAAAAGGACCUUUUCCAGGCGCGCCACUGCAAGGCCACACAAUCCGCCUCCCCUCCGCUCGGAAAUUGCCCUGAAGUUAGUCCUCAGGGGAAAGAAUUUAGUUCCUCACCCCACCCCUCCCAGCCUCCAGCCCCUCCCUCCACAACCUACUCCCCCACUCCCCACUGCACUUCAGGGAAAGAUGCUUCAGUGGGGGACUGGGAAGGAAUCUGACUUGGAUGGGCUGGCGGGUGCCCGGCGGGGGUGCCUUUGGGGACGUCCUCCACCCCUUGUGUGUGUGUGUGUGUGUGUGUAAGUGAACAUCUGUAGAGGGAUGCUGCUGCAUGAGGUGCCUGUGCAUGUGUCAGCGUGGAAAUGGGUGUGCGUGUCUGUUGAGGGGCACCCACACGUCAUGUCCCUUUAAGGAACGCCCCCCCCCCAUUCCGAGACUGCGGUUGACUGGUUUCCAUGGCGACAGAGCUACGGAGAGCUCAGCAGAGAGAGGAGCGAGGAGCACUUUCCCUCUUAUUUAAAUAAUUCCGAAACAAGGAGGAGGCAAGGCUCCAUCUAGGAGCCAGGGAAUUCCUCAUUCUUCAUUGGAGCUGACACUUUCCUAACAUGUCUGAGGGACAACAGAAAAUGGGCUGAUUGACCCAGGUUCUCAUCCAGAGCUUUCAUCCCAACCACCCAAUCGAAGCCAUUUAACAGGUCACCCCAAGAAGAGAAAGGAAGGAGAGGGAGGAAGUGUGGGGAUGCCCCAACAAUGGAGCCUUUUGUCUACCCUGGUGUCAGAUUCCUAAAGGGUUUGAAUGGGAAGACUUCUGCUGACCCGGACACACCAAGCACCCAAGCAGUCUUCGGGCCUGUGGCCACCAACUCAGCAAGAUUCCCAAAGAAUUCAGCCACGGCCUCACAAGGACACGACCAAAAGCCCACACAGCCACGAAAAAAUUCUCAGAGUUCAUCCUCUACAAAUCUCCAGCCUCGGCCACCAUACAGCCAAUGGAACUACAACCCUGUGGUGGCAGGCUCGGGCAAUCAACGCAGCUCUCAUACUAGUACUUCCAGCCUGAGCAACGGCCCGUCCAACGCGCCAGUCCUGCCAAUUCAGGGCCCUCAACUUCUGUACAGCUGCCAGCACUGUGAAACAUACUUUGCAGAUAAUAUCCUUUAUACUAUUCAUAUGGGAUGCCAUGGGUAUGAAAACCCUUUUCAGUGUAACAUAUGUGGGCAAAAAUGCAGAAACAAGUAUGAUUUUGCCUGUCAUUUUGUAAGAGGGCAACAUCACAAGAUCUGAUACCAAACAAUCCCAUCAUGCUUUUCGGUUUGGGUCUUGCUUUCUAAAAUGUCACGUUUUAUCGUCCUUUAUAAGUUGCCUACUCAUUUAAGAGAUCCUUUUCUUUCGUUUGUUGUUUCUAAGAUGCAAAUCUGACAGUGGAGACCAUUUUUUCCUGUCUGGUCAGCAUCAUUUAGGUAUUAGUUAGCGGUAAGGUAGGUAGAUUUUCAUUUAGUUUGAAGCCUUUUCGUUUGUUGUUUCUAAGAUGCAAUCUGACAGUGGAGACCAUUUUUUCUUGUCUGGUCAGAGCCGUGCAUUUAUGUGGCGGUGACGAGGUAGAGAGGUAUUCAUUUCCUUUGAAGUCUUUGCUUUCCUUUUCGAUAAGUGCAUGAGAAUCGGAGUGCGCUUCUAUAUCUUGGGAGCCUCCAUCGAAAUGCCCCACUUUUCAGACUCCUGAAUACUUUGUAAUGCGCAGAGGAUUUUUCUGCUUGGAGAAGGGGUUUGGCACCUUGGAACUUCUGCCAUGUUCUAAAAUGGGGACUUAAAAAUGUUUGACUAAACGGAACCCCUUCCAACGUUUAGUGGAAGGGAUAUUGGAGAACACCCCUUACCCGAUAACUUCAUCCUCGUGUAGUGAGUUCAAGCAAUUGUACAGUUAAACUAAUAAUGGGUUUAACUGGUUUCAGCUCAGGAAUUUCCUUUUUGCCAAGGAAAAAAAUGAAAAGCAGUUUCCGAUGUUACAAAAAAAGUACAAUUGUUAUUUUUAAAAUUUCAGAUACUGUUUUCUUGAAGAAAAAAAAAAGAAUCCUAGUAUGUAAAGUUAUUUGAAAAAUAUAUUGUUUACUUUUAUGAUAUGAAAUAAAUAACAUUCGAUAUUUGAAAAAAAA